rnacentral:rRNA from 1 species
CCAGACUCCUACGGGAGGCAGCAGUCGGGAAUAUUGCGCAAUGGAGGAAACUCUGACGCAGUGACGCCGCGUGCAGGAAGAAGGUUUUCGGAUUGUAAACUGCUUUAGACAGGGAAGAAAAAAGACAGUACCUGUAGAAUAAGCUCCGGCUAACUACGUGCCAGCAGCCGCGGUAAUACGUAGGGGGCAAGCGUUAUCCGGAUUUACUGGGUGUAAAGGGAGCGCAGGCGGCGCGUUAAGCCUGGUGUGAAAGCCCGCGGCCCAACCGCGGGACUGCAUUGGGAACUGGCGCGCUGGAGUGCCGGAGGGGUAGGCGGAAUUCCUAGUGUAGCGGUGAAAUGCGUAGAUAUUAGGAGGAACACCAGUGGCGAAGGCGGCCUACUGGACGGUGACUGACGCUGAGGCUCGAAAGCGUGGGGAGCAAACAGGAUUAGAUACCCUGGUA